AUUGAACGCUGGCGGCAGGCUUAACACAUGCAAGUCGAGCGGAGAUGAGGUGCUUGCACCUUAUCUUAGCGGCGGACGGGUGAGUAAUGCUUAGGAAUCUGCCUAUUAGUUGGGGACAACAUUCCGAAAGGAAUGCUAAUACCGCAUACGCCCUACGGGGGAAAGCAGGGGAUCUUCGGACCUUGCGCUAAUAGAUGAGCCUAAGUCGGAUUAGCUAGUUGGUGGGGUAAAGGCCUACCAAGGCGACGAUCUGUAGCGGGUCUGAGAGGAUGAUCCGCCACACUGGGACUGAGACACGGCCCAGACUCCUACGGGAGGCAGCAGUGGGGAAUAUUGGACAAUGGGGGGAACCCUGAUCCAGCCAUGCCGCGUGUGUGAAGAAGGCCUUAUGGUUGUAAAGCACUUUAAGCGAGGAGGAGGCUACUGAGACUAAUACUCUUGGAUAGUGGACGUUACUCGCAGAAUAAGCACCGGCUAACUCUGUGCCAGCAGCCGCAGUAACAC
rnacentral:rRNA from 1 species